CAAUAAGGAAGACACCAUCAGAGCUGCCCAUCCUCCCCAGCACUAAAGAAAGAAAAGAUUUUCUUUGACUUGGUUAUGGAGAUUUUCUUGUUGACUGGGCUCAUAACUUCAGACCUGAAGUCAGGUGAAGGAAGGUGUAUCAAAGGCUGUGUAUCAAGGGUUGUAGAUAUGACACCAUCAAUAGAAGAUAAUAUAUCAAGAAGAAUUCUGUAGGGCUACACAGAUUGAUCUAAGUAUCCUCACCCAAUUCUAAGCCAGGAUGGAGAGAAAACACUUCAUGGAGAAACUUAAAAUAAUCUGAUGCUAUGGUAUGUGGACUGUUAAUAGACAAAGAAAAAUUUAAAAAUUAUCCGGAGGAAUGCAAACUUCUAAAGCAACUUUAGAAAUCAGUAUGAUGUUUCUUCAUGAAUGUAGAAAUGGAUACACCUAAAGAUAUACCUCGAGGACAUAUAUCUAAAUGUUGAUUUAUUCUAGUAUAGAGACACUUGAUAAUUUGGAAAUAUUCAAGUUGUUCUUUAACUUAUGAAUGCAUAAAGAAAAUAUAGUGCAUUGACAGACUGGAAGAGGAAAGCAUGUAAUUUUCCGGACAGUGACUGGAUCUUGUGAAAGUCAUCAUUGAUGACUUAACCCAGAUCAAAAAGGGAAAAUGGGAUACUUAUUCACUUGAACCAUAAUGUUAAUUCAGAAGACUCUGUAUCUGUGUGAUCAGUUUAGUGCCCGCUGUCCUCAUUUUGGGAAGUACCAGUGUACUUAUGUAUUGCUGAGGGACACUGUAAGGAACACGAAUAUCAAAUGUGAAGAGAGAGAAGAGGACGACAAUGGAGGGAAUAUAGAGAUGUACAACUAAAAGUGCGAGAAAUUUGAGUCAGAGAAUGGAAACCAAAUUGAGUAGAAAUACUUUUUUUUUUACAUUUUUAUCAAGGUUAAUAACAAUUUAUUAUAGGUACAGGGACAGAGAAUAAAAUAUUGAUUGGUUUUAUUUAUGUAAAUUUUCAAUAAUAAGUACAUCUCAAAAAUUAUGGAUUUCAGCUUUCAGUAAACCUGUAGUACAGAUAAUGACUGUACAGUCCUUAAGGAGUGCGAUGUGAAUGUCUCUGUUGGAAACAUAUAUGUAUUAUAUUAUAAACACUAUAUGUGUACAAUAAACUAUUCAUUUGUUUACAUUUCAAA